rnacentral:rRNA from 1 species
ACGGUCCUAAGGUAGCGAAAUUCCUUGUCGGGUAAGUUCCGACCCGCACGAAAGGCGUAAUGAUUUGAGCGCUGUCUCGACAAUGCAUCCGGUGAAAUUGAAGUACCAGUGAAGAUGCUGGUUACCUGCGCCAGGACGGAAAGACCCCAUGGAGCUUUACUCCAGCUUGAUACUGGGAUUCGGUAUUGCAUGUACAGGAUAGGUGGGAGGCUAGGAAAUGGUAACGCCAGUUGCCAUGGAGCCAAUGUUGGGAUACCACCCUUGCAGUACUGGGUUUCUAACCAGCAGCCGUGAUCCGGCUGGGGGACAAUGUCAGGUGGGGAGUUUGACUGGGGCGGUCGCCUCCGAAAGGGUAUCGGAGGCGCUCAAAGGUUCCCUCAGAAUGGUCGGAAACCAUUCGAAGAGUGCAAAGGCAGAAGGGAGCUUGACUGCGACACCGACGGGUGGAGCAGGUACGAAAGUAGGACUUAGUGAUCCGGUGGUAUAAAGUGGGAUUGCCAUCGCUCAACGGAUAAAAGCUACCCUGGGGAUAACAGGCUUAUCACUCCCAAGAGUUCACAUCGACGGAGUGGUUUGGCACCUCGAUGUCGGCUCAUCGCAUCCUGGGGCUGUAGUAGGUCCCAAGGGUUGGGCUGUUCGCCCAUUAAAGCGGUACGCGAGCUGGGUUCAGAACGUCGUGAGACAGUUCGGUCCCUAUCUGUCGUGGGCGUAGGAUAUUUGCAAGGAGCUGUCCCUAGUACGAGAGGACCGGGAUGGACGCACCUCUGGUGCACCAGUUGUCACGCCAGUGGCACAGCUGGGCAGCUAUGUGCGGAACGGAUAAACGCUGAAGGCAUCUAAGCGUGAAGCCGCCCUUAAGAUAAGAUAUCCCUUCUGUUUACAGAGUAAGACCCCUUGAAGACUACAAGGUUGAUAGGCUCAAAGUGUAAGCACGGUGACGUGUUUAGCUAGCGAGUACUAAUCGGUCGAGGGCUUAACCUU